AUUGUAGUUAUACCRAAAGUUCUCUUUGAAGUUGCCCUUACCUGCAGUGUGUUUCUCUUCUGAUUUAAUCAUAACUGUGCAGCACAUGCGGGCUUGGGAAGAGGGACCGGUGUGAGACCGUCGGGUGAGCUGCCUGUGCUGCAUCGAGCUCUGCUUUCCAGGGAGCGCUCCUGGAAACCACUCUGCUCUGCCGAGAGACCGGCCCCGGGGCGCUGCGUCGGUCCUGAGCAAGGGGCGGGAAGAACACGCUGCCCGAGGCUGCUGCCGGCCAAGGCGGAAAGUCCAGAGGAUAGAGGUGUUUCUGGUCUACUUUGAGGCCGAURGAUGUUUUUGGAGUAUUUUUUUUUCAAUCUUAAUGAAAAUGUGAAAUUUUAAAGAACUGGUAUUCYCCGUUCCAAACAAUGAUGA